CACUUACAAAUGUAAAGACUGAAAUGAUUUUGCUGUUUAAAUAUCAGUCCCAUUUGGAGCCAGCAAUCACAGAAGUCGACUAUGUGCUUAAAAAAAAUCAAUACAUUCCUAGGGUGAUGAUAAGUUAGAAGGGUCGUAAAUUACACGCAUGGCUUACGAGAAAUGGAUGGGGAGGUUUGCCCAGUAUAUUGACUAUUUUGUCUUUGAAACGUAGCCAUCAAUUAUGAUGGCCCCUUGUGCAGAAGAAGCCAGAUUUAUGACUGUGAUUGGAAAGGAGGAGUAAGUACAAGCUUUUACUGAGCUUUGACUUGGGGCCAGAAAUUGGUAAGUCACUUUCACACUCAUAAUGUCUUUUGGCUUUAUGUGUGAGUAAAGUAGGUGGCUCUAUAUCUCUGUGCUUUUCAGCUCAACAGAGCCAAAAGAGAUGAGGAAAGGUGGUGUCGUGGGAAGUCCAGCAGCAUCAGCCAGCUGAGCAUAGCCACAAGGCUGCUGCUCUCAGAAGGCCAGGCUGCCUUAGGAGCUGUAUUAUGAGAAAAUAAAAAUGUUCACUAUUUUGGCCUCUGGAGAGACAACUCUUGAUUUCUCAGAUUUGUACUGUUUCCCAUUUGAAUAAUAUACACCGGGUCUUACAGAUAGUUUGCUAACUUUCCUUUCAUGAAAUUUCAGCUUGGGUGCAGGUGCCAUGGUUUUGAAUCAGAAAAAACUGGAUUCAGAAUUUUGUUUUUCCUUUAGAAUCUUAAAUAAAAUAAGGAUAUUUUUAAGUAAAUUAUAGUUUUAAAAAGUGCUUCACUCACUUGUGUGUGUGUGUGUGUUUUUCAUUAUGAAACAGCUAUGCCUCUAGCCACCUUUAUUUUAGAAAGAGAACUUGAGCAUUCCCCAGGGAUGGCGGCGGCUGCUCUGGAAGGACUACAUUGCUAAGAGCUGGUGGAUACCUCACUCUUCUGUGUCUCAGUUUUCUCGUCAUAUCUUUUAAAAUGAGAGGGGUGGGUUAAAGUUUUUUUUUCUUAAAGGUUGUUAACUACUGUCUAGGAAAUUGACUAGAAAUUGGGACAUUUUCUGUGAAUUUCUGUGGCCAAAUGUAACCAUGUUUAAAAAGGGAAUAUUGCCUUUAUAGAGGCUCAGGCCCUUAAGACUAUUAUUUUAACUUUUGAGUAGAUAGUACAUUCCCAUAGUUCAAAAAACUAUGUGUAUAUAUAUAUAUAUACAUACACACACAUAAAUAUAUAUAGAAUCUAUAUAUCUACAUAUAUAAACAUACGUGUGUGUAUGUGUGUGUGUGUAUGUGUUUAGGUAUGUGCAUGAAAAAGUUUUCUUCUACUCUGGCCCCAUCUUACCAUCACCUAUAUAUUUGAAUGUAGCAACAUUUAUUAGUGUCUUGUUUAUCCUCCAAGGGCUUCUCUGUGAAUAUAAAAGCAAAUAAUAAUAUAUUUUCUUAUCUCACUUUUACACAAAGUAUAAUGUACUCCGUUUUGUACCUUUUUUUAUUAAUAAUCAUAUUUUUGAAAUUUUUCCCACCAAUACCUGAGGACCUUCCACAUUGUUUUAUAUAGCUACAUAGUAUAGAUCCUCAAUUCCUUAUCUGCAUUUCAGGAAAACAUACCGAAAUUUUAAAUGGCUCAGUAUUCCACUUCUACAUAUCUACAAUAUCCAAGAAUAGUGUGUACAAGACAUUGGCUACAAAACAUGUAUUAGAUAUUCCUAGCAGCACUAUUCAUAAAGCCGAACAGUGAAAAUUCCCCAAAUGUCCCUCAAUAGCAGAAAGGAUAAAUAAAUUUCUGUAUAACCAUAUAAUGCAAUACCAUGGGGCAAUUAGGAUGAACAAUCUAUAAUUAUACAAAACAAUUUGGAUGUAUCUUACAGACACAAAGUUGAUUGAGAGAAACAAGACAUAAGACAGUAGAUAUGUUGAUUCCAUUUAUGUAGAGUACAGAAAGAGGCCAAAUUUGUUCACAUAUUUGAAGUCAAGGCACCAUGGAAGAAAACACGGGGAGUAUCUUCCAGGAUGCUGACAAUAUACUAUUUUCUGGUCUGGACUCUGGAUGCACUAAUGUAUUCAGUUAUUGAAAAUUCAUUAAGCACUUUACAUUUGCCAUUUGUGGACUUUUCUGUAUGUAUGUUACAUUUUAACAAAAAGUUUUUUAAAAAUAGAAAAAAGUAAAAGCACUGAAAGCAAAGUAUUUUUAUUGCUGAUUUGAUAAAUGUUGAGGUUUUUAAUUGCGUCCUGAGCAAAUUACCGCAAAUCAGACCCUUAAAACAGUACACAUUUAUUAUCAUAGUUCUGUGGGUUAGAUAGCCAGGUACACUGUGGAUUAUUGGUUCUCUGCUUCAGGUCUCGCUAGGAAAAAUUCAGUGUCUCCUUUCUGGAGGCUGUAGGAGAGACUCUGCUUUCAAGCUUAUUCAGGUCUGGAGGCUGUAGGAGAGACUCCGCUUUCCAGCUUAUUCAGGUUGUUGGCAGAACUCUGUUCCUUGGUGGUGGGGAUGUCACCUCAGUUUCCUUGUUAGUUGUCCGCUUCUCUCAGCUUCUCAAAGACACCUGCAUUUCUUUUUGCCCCCUUCACCCUUUAGCCAGCAAUGGUGCAUAAAGCCCUUCUCUGACUUUCCUUCUUCCACAUCUCUCUUCCUCUUCUGUCUUCUCCUUCCAGCCAGAGACAGCUCUCUGUUUCUAAUGAUUUAUGCAAUUAAUUAGAUUGGGUGUACCCAGAAAAUCUAUGAUAAUCUCCUCAUUUCAGUGUCCAUAAUGAUAAUUGCAUCUGUAAAAUUUCUUUUGUCAAUGUAGCUCAAUGUGUGCAACUUAAUAUAAUAACUCCAAAACUCAUAGGUUCCAGGAAUUAGGGCAUAGGCAUAUUUGAGUGGCCAUUAUUUUGCCUACCCCAGUGAUACAAUCUCACCCUGUCUGAACUGAACUGGCCUGACCUGAAGUAAGUAUACUUAUGUUUUUUCUAUAUAUAAUGCCACCGAAUGUGAUUUUUCAAACAUGAUGCAAAAUGUUGAUGCAGUUGGUAAAUAGGUGCUAUCCCAAACCCUUCUGGAAGUGUGAUGUAAUAUGCUAUCACCAUAUUAUCUUUCAGUAAAAGAAUUCUGAAUUCCGAAACACUUCUGGCUCAGGGACUGUUGACUCAUAUUGUACUAGCUGGAGAUAUCAUGGUGCAGUGGAUCACGCCUGUAAUCCCAGCAUUUUGGGAGACAGAGGCGGGUGGAUCACUUGAGGCCAAGAGUUCAAGACCAGCCUGGCCAAAAUGGGGAAACCUCCUCUCUUUGAAAAACACAAAAAUUAGCCCAGCAUAGUGGCGCAUGCCUGUAGUCCCAGCUACUCAGGAGGCUGACAGGAGAAUCGCUUGAACCCCAGAGGUGGAGGUUGCAGUGAGCAGAGAUUGCACCACUGCACUCCUGCACUCCAGCCUGGGUGACACCAAAAAAAGAAGAAGAAAGACGAAAGAAGAAGAAAGAAGAAAGAAGGAAACUAUUUCCAUUACUGUGAACAGCCUGUUCAUAUUGAGUUGUUGGUCUUAAAAAUCAAUUUAUAGAAAAUCAUUACAUAUUUGUGUAUAUUUUUGGCAUAAGUUAAAAUGUUUGUUCCUAGUUUUGUCUUUGGACUUAGCUUUUUAAAAAUAUUUUGCAUUAUAGAAGUGUUUUAUUAGGUGUAAAGGAUGUUAUUAAUACUUUCUUUUAUAGUUUAUAAGUUUAAGCCACAUUUUCAAAGGCCUUCAAUAGAGCACUUUUGUUUAUGAAUUAUCUAAGUUCCAAUUCUGACCAUAUCAUUUCAUUAAUAAUAACAUAGAGGAGCUGGUUACCUCCCAGUAAAGGCCUUCAUAUCCUAUAUGAAUUAACAUAUUAAGAUUUUCUAAUCUGUAUAUUCAUAAAUCCUACAGCUAAUGGAUGGGUGUAGCCAGGGAAGUGGGGUCACCAAUUAUAUAUAGUACCAACAUAGUAGGAUUCAUUAAGUAUUAAAAUCCUGAAACUAGAUUGUAUUUGUUCACAUUAUAGGGGUAUAUCUGUCAACGUGAUCUUCUUCACUCAAAGGAUAAGUCUUUGUCUAGAUAUAGCAAUUGUACUCAGAUGAGAUCCUUGUUCCAGGUCUGAUUUUCAGUCCUGCACUGAGCAGCUGCCAUAGAAAGACAGAAAGCAUUGAUAAGAGCUUUUUUGAUGUUAUAAAACUUAAGAAAAUAAUGGAGAAUUAGCAGGUAUCACAAGACAAGAGAAAGGAAAAAAUAAGGGCUGAAUAUUGGAGAGAAUUAGGAGGUGUCAAAGGAGGUAAAUAAAAGAAUUAAUGGACUAGAAGGAGGAACAAUCCUAGGGAAUUAGCUUAUGUUAGAUUGGGAGGUAAGAAGAAAAAGGGGGGAUACAAUCGAGAAGAAGUAACACAUGUCGUAAAGGAGAUACAAUGAGAGAAAAGAGGGAAGAAAAACUCAGAACCUGAAUUUAUCUAGAAUUUAGGUCUGACAUUAGACAUGGAUCUAGACCUGGAUGUUGGACGGGUGCCCCAGUCAUGAACCUGAAAUGGACCUAGGGUAUGUAUAUUGGAUCUUGACUAUGGACAUGGACCAUGAACCUAUACUGAAUAAGGACAUUGGAAUUGGACCUCGGACCUUUUAUACUUACCUUGAACCACGAUUUCAAACUUAGACAUCAGAUGGAGACCUGGAUCUCAGACCUUGGUGUAAGCCUUGACCGUGUACUUUAACUUGAAUUUAGCACCUGAACUUGGACACUGGAACUGGAUGUGGGGCCUAAAACUUGACACUGUAUUCAUCCAGAACCUCGAAUCUGACCUUAAUUAUGCUCCAUGGUUGUGCACUUGGGCUUUAGUCACUGAGAUUGGACCUAGACAACUAAUCAUAAACUUGAAUCUCAGAUCUUGACCUGCACCUGACCUUAGACCUGGAAUUUCAACACAAACCUCAAUCCUAGACAUAGAUGUGAACCUGAACCUUAAAACUAUGCUCUUGACCCUGGAUCUUUACCUUAUCUUGGACAUUGAAUCUUGAACAUGGAAAUGAAUUUGACCUAGAUGUUAGAACUGAUAUUAGACCUGGACCUUGAACGUGGACAAUAUCUUGAAUUAUGGGAAUGUACCUUGGACUUUGACCUUGGAUGUAGUCUUUAUCCUUAGACAUAGACUUUGGGCCAGCCCUUAGAACUGGACCUAGCCUUCACUUUGUCAUAGAUGUUGACUGUGGACCUCAGAUCUUCACAUGAACUUUGAAAAAAUAUAUUUUUACUUUUAAUUCUUAUGGAUACAUACUAAUAGCCCAUAUUUAUGGGGUACAUGUGACAGCCUGAUACAAGGUUACAGUGUGUAAUGAUCAAAUCAGGGUAAUUGGGGAAUCCAUAACCUCAAGCGUUUAUCAUUUCUUUGUGUUAGGAACACUUCAGUUUUAAUCUUUUAGUUAUUGUAAAAUAAACAAUAAAUUACUGUUAACUGUAGCCACCAUAAUGUACUACCAAACACUAGAUGCUAUUCUUUCUACCAACUGUGUUUUUGUAUCCAUCAACUAUCCCUUCUUUAUCCCCCUUUCCUCACUAUUCUUUCCAGUCUCUGGCAACCAUCAUUCUACUGUCUAUCUUUGUUAGUUGAAUAUUUUUUUUAGCUCUGAUAUACUAGUGAGAACAUGUGAUAUUUGUCUUUCUGUUCCUGGCUUAUUCAACUUAAUAUAAUUUCCUCCAGUUCCAUCCAUGUUGUUGCAAAUGGCAAGACUGCAUUCCUUUCGAUGGCUGAAUAAUAAUCUAUUGUGUACAUAUGCCACAUUUUUGUUGUUUUUCAUUCACUCGUUGAUGGACACUUGGAUUGAGUAUAUAUCUUGGCUAUUGUGAAUUGUUCUGCAAUAAACAUGGGAGGGCAGGUAUUUCUUCAAUAUACUAAUUUAUUUUAUUUAGGGUAUAUACCCAGUGGUGGGAUCCCAGUAGCUGGAUCAUACAACAGUUCUAAUUUUAGUUCUCUGAGGAAUCUCCAUACUGUUCUCCAUAGUGGCUGUACUAGUUUACAUUCCCACCAACAGUAUAUGGGGAUCUUUCUUUCUCCACAUGAUCACCAGCAUUUGUUAUCUUUUUGGAUAAAACUGUUUUAACUGGGGUAAGAUGAUCUCUCAUUGCAGUUUUGAUUUGUAUUUCUCUGAUGAUUAAUGAUGUUGAGCAUUUUUGCAUAUACCUGUUGGCCAUUUGUAUGUUUCCUUUUGAGAAAUGUCUAUUCAUAUCUUUUGCCAUUUUAAAAUUGGAUUAUUUGUUUUUAUUCCUGAGUUGUUUGAGCUCCUUAUUUAUUCUGAGUAUUUAUUACCUGUCAGAUGGGUAAUUUGCAAAUAUGUUCUCCCAUUUUAUGGGUUUUCUCUUCAGCUUGUUGACUGUUUUCUUUUCUGUGCAGAAGCUGUUUAACUUGAUAUAAUUCCAUUUGGACAUGAACUUUGAACCUAGAUUUUGGACCUGCAUUUUUUCAGUUCCUUAAAUAUACUUUCCAUUGCAACUAGGAUUUUAUUUGAAUAGGUGGUAAGAAGUUACUUUGAAGAAGUGCCUGAAAUUGACUUUCUUUGUUUAUAUGCUGCUUAUUUCCACAAACGCUGCUUUGAUUCAUUUUAACUUGUUCUAUCUGGAAUAAAGUACAUUUGAGAUGAAAGUGUUUUUCUGAACUAUUUUGCUGACAGAUGCUUAAUCUGGUUUCAUUCACUAAACACCUGUUUCUCAUUCCAAAUGGAACAAAAAUUAUCAAAAUCAGUGCCCUUUAGAAUCAGAUCAACUCAUUUUCUCACUGCUACCACCAGGUACAUUCUGUUUUAUGCUCUCAAAAAUCCCUAUACAUCUGUCUUUCAGAGCGCUCCUCAUUCUGUAAUUAAUUGAGCUAUUAUUUCAUUAAUUUAUUAAUUAUGGGGUACAUGUGAUAGCCUGAUACAAGGUUACAGUGUGUAAUGAUCAAAUCAAGGUAAUUGGGGAAUCCAUAACCUCAAGCUUUAAUCAUUUCUUUGUGUUAGGAACACUUCAGUUUUAAUCUUUUAGUUAUUUUAAAAUAAACAAUAAAUUACUGUUAACUGUAGUCACCAUAAUGUACUACCAAACACUAGAUGCUAUUCCUUUUACCAACUGUGUUUUUGUAUCCAUCAACCACCCCUUCUUUAUCCCCUCAUUUUCUGUAUAGCAGGUAUUAGCAAACUAUAGUCAGUUGGCCAAAUUUGUCCCGUUUUUCUGUUUGUAUAUGGCUUAUGAACUUAGAAUAAAUUAUUCUAUUUGUAUAUGUUGGAAAAUAAUUAAAAGAAGAGAAAACAUUUUGUGACACAUGAAAUUACAUAAAAUUUGAAUUUCUGUGUCCAUAAUUAAUGUCUAACUACAACACAA
rnacentral:lncRNA from 1 species